rnacentral:rRNA from 1 species
CUACCCUUGACAUGUCCAGAAGCCUGAAGAGAUUUGGGUGUGCCCGAAAGGGAACUGGAACACAGGUGCUGCAUGGCUGUCGUCAGCUCGUGUCGUGAGAUGUUGGGUUAAGUCCCGCAACGAGCGCAACCCUUGUCGUUAAUUGCCAUCAUUCAGUUGGGCACUUUAACGAGACUGCCGGUGACAAACCGGAGGAAGGUGGGGAUGACGUCAAGUCCUCAUGGCCCUUAUGGGUAGGGCUUCACACGUCAUACAAUGGCCGGUACAGAGGGUUGCCAAGCCGCGAGGUGGAGCCAAUCCCAGAAAGCCGAUCGUAGUCCGGAUCGCAGGCUGCAACUCGCCUGCGUGAAGUCGGAAUCGCUAGUAAUCGCGGAUCAGCAUGUCGCGGUGAAUACGUUCCCGGGUCUUGUACACACCGCCCGUCACACCAUGGGAGCGGGUUCUGCCAGAAGUAGUUAGCCUAACCGCAAGGAGGGCGAUUACCACGGCAGGGUUCGUGACUGGGGUGAAGUCGUAACAAGGUAGCCGUAUCGGAAGGUGCGGCUGGAUCACCUCC